ACGGUCGGGUUUGCCACGAAGGAUCCUUCCAAAGGCCUAUUAAGUGAAUUCCUGUAGCUCAUUCAGCCGAUGGAAGGUAGAAGGGACUCAGAACUUCAGGCCUAAUUCUGCGUUUUUGUAUGCCCCAAGAAUGAAAGGGCUCUUUGUGAAUUUGCAUGUAGAUUUAUUUAACAUUCAACCGGCAGAAAACGGAAGGUAGUGCAUGACACUGGGGGGAACCAGGCCCCCGCCCACCUCACAUCGUCAUGGCAUUAGCUGUUUACUGGCUCCCGUGGAAACAUUGGAAGGGGAUUUGUUUUGUGGUUGGGUUUCCUUUUUUUUUUUUUUUUAGCAUGAUUGCAGUUAGAUCUGCAGUAUUUCCUCAAAUAUGUGAGGGGAAGGGAGCGGUGACUUCCUAAAGGAAAGUAUUUAUAUUUUUAGACUGAAAUAGGCUGUUACAAAGCUUUUCUCCAAAAACACAUUUAAAAAAGGAGUGUUCUAAACAAUAGAAAAUGUAUCUUAACGCAUAGUUAAGGAGCACCAAGAAAAUGCUUCUGGAUGUUGGAAUGUCAGCCUCGACUCCGCUUCUUUCUGAACUCGCUUGUUCUGCUUCGGGCUCCCAUGUCAGCAGUGUCGUGGAGAGCUCGUCCGUGUGAAGGGACAGCAUCCCGGCCAGGCCAUGGAUGGUGGCCCGGGAGGAGGAAGUGUGAGCGGGUCAAGAGAGAGAGAAGGCAUGAGAGAGGCACUCUGCUCGGAUGACACAGCCCACACUGUUUUGCCACAGAUUUGUGGUGUAUCACAGCUCGAGGGAGUCCUGGAGGCCACCCAGGCCAGGGUUUCUCAUGUUGUUGACCAUGUGCACCAGGAGGUGAGGCCUGGGAAUCCACCUACUUAGUGGCUCAGGAGAGCUGGCCCAAUAACCAGCUGGUACAGAGGCCUCAUUUCAUCGAGGAGCAGUCUGGACUGGAGAGGCCACAGGACUCGGAACAGCACCAGAUUGAAAGCAGAGCCCAUUUGAGACGUGGCUUAAAGAGGGACACCAUGCUGUCCAAACGUGGGUGUAGACAGAGCAGACACAGCCUCUUUUAUCUGCUUAUUGUGGCUCUGGGAAGACAGCUCCCCAACCCCUCCAUUCCUCUCUCAUUUGUUCAUCUUGAAACCCAUUAAGAGGGCACAAAACCUUUAUGUCACAGUGGGAGAUAAUAUGUGAAUGAUUCUUAGAAAGUCCUAGGAGUUAGAAGGAGAGCAGUGCACCAACACAGAGAUUCAACUCUAGGAGAAAACAUCAGUCCCAGCUGUGGCUAGGGUGACACUGUUGUCUGCAUCUUCGCUGAAAAGCUCCAUCAUUUCUACCAAAAAGCAGACAAAAUGUCUUACUGUUACGCC
rnacentral:lncRNA from 1 species